GACAGAGGUCCCAAGCGUUAGGCGGAAUCACUGGGCUUAAAGCGUGUGUAGGCGGAUUGGUAAGUACCUUGUGAAAUCCCACGGCUUAACCGUGGAACUGCUGGGUAUACUGCUUAUCUUGGGCCACUUAGGGGUUACCGGAACAAACGGUGGAGCGGUGAAAUGCGUAGAUAUCGUUUGGAACGCCAAUGGUGAAAACAGGUAACUGGGAGUGUGCCGACGCUGAGACACGAAAGCCAGGGGAGCGAACGGG
rnacentral:rRNA from 1 species